GACGGAGGGUGCAAGCGUUGCUCGGAAUCACUGGGCGUAAAGGGUGCGUAGGCGGUCUCGCAAGUCUGGCGUGAAAGCCCAAGGCUCAGCCUGGGAACUGCGUUUGAAACUACAAGGCUAGAGUGUGACAGAGGGGGGUGGAAUUCCGACGUGUAGCAGUGAAAUGCGUAGAGAUGUGGAGGAACACCGAUGGCGAAGGCAGCCCCCUGGGUUAACACUGACGCUCAGGCACGAAAGCGUGGGGAGCAAACAGG
rnacentral:rRNA from 1 species